CCUACGGGAGACAGCAGUGGGGAAUAUUGCACAAUGGGGGAAACCCUGAUGCAGCGACGCCGCGUGAGUGAAGAAGUAUUUCGGUAUGUAAAGCUCUAUCAGCAGGGAAGAAAAUGACGGUACCUGAUUAAGAAGCCCCGGCUAACUACGUGCCAGCAGCCGCGGUCAUACGUAGGGGGCAAGCGUUAUCCGGAUUUACUGGGUGUAAAGGGAGCGUAGACGGCAGCACAAGUCUGGAGUGAAAUGCCGGGGCUUAACCCCGGAACUGCUUUGGAAACUGUGCAGCUAGAGUGCAGGAGAGGUAAGUGGAAUUCCUAGUGUAGCGGUGAAAUGCGUAGAUAUUAGGAGGAACACCAGUGGCGAAGGCGGCUUACUGGACUGUAACUGACGUUGAGGCUCGAAAGCGUGGGGAGCAAACAGGAUUAGAUACCCGAGUAGUC
rnacentral:rRNA from 1 species